AAAAUUUUGUCAAUGGUUGUGUGUGUGUGUGUGUGUAUAUGUUAUAUGUAUGAGUAUGUGUAUGAGGCGAAACGGACACCCCUCCGUCCAGAAUACAUUUUAGGUUAAAAAAUCAGCAAGUAUGUAAAUUGUAGCUGGAAAUGUCUAUUUUUAAAUGUCAUUUAGCAUUUUUUUUAAAUUUAACAUGGCGGUAGCAAUAUAGUACCAAAUUAAGACUAUAUUCUCUCAUUUAUGAACAGAAUAUUUGAUCAAAAUGUCAGAACAUGAUAUAUAGGCUUCAAAAUAAACAUUUAGGGGUUUUCAGGGCCAUUAAUUACGAAUAUAAAGUCUAAAAAAUACAAUUCAAAAUGAUAGUGACAAUAUAGCGUCAUAUCGGAACUGAAAUCACUAAUUUACUCGCAGAAUAUUCGAUUAAAAUAUCAGAAAAUAAUACUUUGACUAAAAAUGGGUAACUAGAAUUUUUUGGGACCACUGAUUACAAGUAAAGUCAAAAAAAUAAAACUAUAUUUGAACAAUAAUUCCAAUUUUUGGAAAUAUAUUCUGAGCAGGAGCUAUUUCACAGAAAACGCCCCGUGUGUGUGUGUGUGUAUAGAGAAGAAAAGGCGGUUAUGGACUAGAUAUGAAAUUCGCGAUAUCUUGUAUACUUUGGGUUGAGUUCUGGGGAUAACUGUCCGAAUUACUUCUUUACGUAUUGUUUAGAUUUUAGAUGUUAUAAUAUAGCCACUGGUUAUUAGUGUUUGUUUUGUUGUCUUAAAAACUGCAUUUCAGGGGGUCUAUUCUUGAAUUUAUUCGCAAGAGAAACUUCUAUAGGAUUUACCUCAUUUUGAAAAAUGUCGGGUAUUAAUUUUUUAACAUUAGUGUAAUUUGAAGGGCUUGAAUAUAGCUUUCAAAUAACGUAAUUUAAUGUUUGACGUAAUGUGUGCAUGCAGUUAACAUGUAAAGUUAUACUUAUGUUCAGAGUUAUGGAUCCUUGCGAUUGUCGCAAGUCUGAGUUCCAUAAUCUCUUCCCUCGUAAUAUUUUUACGAUACUUAGCUAACAUUGAUUGUAUUAUAAUACUUUUAUAGUAUUUAUAUAAUAUGCAAAGUCGCAAGAGUCAAAGAUUUUUAUAUUUAUAUUUUUGUAUGAUACUUUUGUAUGAUAUUAUGUACAAGAAAUUGAUGCUUUUGUGAUACUGAUCUGCAAGCCAAUAUCUGCAAGCUUUAUUUUUUAUUUUUUAGAAAUAAAAAUAAUUUUAAGAAUAUUCAUUGAUGAUGUUCCAUAUCCCCCUACAGGUUCCAUAACCGCAAUCUUUUUUCCUUUUUCAGUAAAUUGCUAAUUAUGUUCGUUAUGUAGAACUUCUGCUUAGAACAUGAUUGGUAGAACUAUACUAAUCUAUGGAUAACAAAACUUGUACCAACAAAAAUUGUCACAAAUUUUUACCGAGUUACUUAAAUAAAACAAAAUGGUGGUUUAUAACCCCCUUCUUUCCUCUAUGUAUAUAUUUUAUAUACAUAAAUAUAAAUAUUAUAUAUAUAAAUAUAAAUAUAUAUAUAUUUUUUUAUUAUAAUUACUCUCAAGUACCACACAUAUAUAUCUAGUCGAUAAUUAAUGUGUAAAAUUGAUCAAUAUACAUAAAUAAAUAGUGUACAUAAUCAAUAUUUUCUAUUUAUAAUGUAUUUACAACUUACAUUUCGUUUCUUACUUAAAUUACAGGUUAUAUUUCAAUGUAAAGUGCAAAUAACAUUCGCGAUUACAUCCCUGCACAAGAUCUUAGACAUAAAAAUUUAUAUAUGCAAAUGCAUUCAUAUUAUUUUACUUGUUAUAUUAAGUAUUAUUAUAUAUAUUUAGUCUAAUCAUAAUGAUAAAUAUAAAAUAUUAAGCGUAACAAUUUUAGAAGAAAAAAAAAAGAUAUAUUUAAGGACACAUCUCGAAAUAAGACAAACAUAUUUUACAAUAUUAAAUUUGUAACGUAUAAGUUAACUAUGUCAUAAUUAUUAUAUCAAUUAGUAGAGUUAGAGGUAGAUUAAGGUGGUGACAUUACCUGGGCCGCUACUCACCUACAGGCACUGAGCCUGCCAUGGGAGUAGGUGAUGAUGACACCAUGGGCAAACGACCCUGUUCUUUUACUAUAGGAU